UCUCAAGCGUGAGGUAAGGGCAAUUCGUGGAUGCCUUGGCAUGUACAGGCGAAGAAGGACGUGGCACGCUGCGAUAAGCGUCGGUGAGGUGUGAGCAACCUUUGACCCGACGAUUUCCGAAUGGGGAAACCCACCUAUCCGAUUAAUCCGAGACGAGACGAACGACAUCGCGCGCAAGCGUGGCGUCGGAUGGCUCGGCUGGGGUUAAUUGGUUCAGGUAUCUUGAGACUGAAUACAUAGGUUUCGAGAAGCGAACCCGGUGAACUG
rnacentral:rRNA from 1 species